UACGUAGGUGGCAAGCGUUGUCCGGAUUUACUGGGCGUAAAGAGCGCGCAGGCGGUCGAAUAAGUCGAAUGUGAAAGCUCCCGGCUUAACUGGGAAAUUGCAUCGGAAACUGAUCGGCUGGAAGGUGGGAGAGGGUAGCGGAAUUCCCGGUGUAGUGGUGAAAUGCGCAGAUAUCGGGAGGAACACCAGUAGCGAAGGCGGCUCGCUGGGCCGUUCCUGACGCUGAGACGCGAAAGCUAGGGGAGCGAACAGG
rnacentral:rRNA from 1 species